ACUUGUUGCUGCUAGCGAGGGUGUGGGCGACGGUGGAAAAACCAGAAAAUAGAGGAAAACAAAGCAGGAAAAUUGUUAAACCUCAUCCCAGCCCCGCACUUUUUACUCUUUCGCUUCUGGACACGCGGAUAUCUCGAUGUGUGGACGCUGCAAGGGGAUGGAUUUAAAAAAGGUAAAAGGCAUCGCGGGACACGGAUUUGUGCGGAUAAAAAAGGGUAGCGGGAUUAAAAGAGUAAAAAAGAGGAAUUAUUAAGGACAGAGGGAACUGAUUGAGGAGAGAGACAACAAGAGGGCCAUGAUCACUGAGACGAAUGUGAUGCUACAGACGAAACAGCAACUACGGCCUUGAUGAGAAUAACCAAC